GCUGGGCAUGGUGGCACAUGCCUGUAAUCCCAGUGAUUCAGGAGGCUGAGACAGGAGGAUUUAAAUUCAAGGUCAGCCUUGGUAACUUAGUGAGACCCUGCCUCAA
rnacentral:sRNA from 1 species